GGAUAAGUUAUAAUUUCUGAAAGACCAAGAUUGGAAUGACUUUUUGUAACAAGUGUGCUCGCAGAUCGACUCCAGUGAGAAGAGCUCGGGGACCUCCUGAGCCAAGUUUAAUCUCCUUUGCUAUUUGUGCAUGGUGGCUGGUCACCAGGAGGUGGCCACCAGGCUUCUCCUUUCCCCGCUGUUCUAAUUGCUAAUCCAGUAUUUGCGGAUAGCUCCAAACUGGGAUAUUGUUCUCAGGCGCUGUGGUCUCACCUUCCACUGGGGCAACAAUGGGCCAUUUCCAGCAGGGACGGCGCAGUGUUGGCCUGCAUGCCUGACUGCCACACACCUCCAGAAUCAGGUGUCUGAAAAGUGGCAGUGACGAAAGAAGAGACUCUCCCGGCCGAGGCCCCAGUGCAUGGAGAGAAGGAAGAAAUCAAUUUCCUAAUUGGUACCAUAUACAUCAGAUGGAUGGUUUCUAGUGUGCUUCCAAACCCCACCUCGGCUGAGUGUUGGGCAGCACUUCUACAUGAUCCUAUGACUCUUGAUAUGGACGCAGUCCUGUCAGACUUUGUUCGGUCCACGGGGGCAGAACCUGGUCUGGCCAGAGACCUGCUGGAAGCAAUGUUCACAGCAUCUUUACCGGGAGCAGAUUCCAUCUCAAGAAACCACUUCCUUUGCUCAUCCAUAAGAAGCAACUCCCCAACUUGAGAUUGUAGCAAUUUAGUCACAUCUUCAGACUCCACUUCUAAUUCCAGUUCUCUUCCACGACAUCUGCAGUUAAUUCUUCCACUGAAGUCUUGGACCCCACAAAGUCAUCCAUGAGAGUUGGAAUCCACUUCUUACAACCUCCUGUUAAUGUCGAUAAUUUGACCUCCUCCCAUGAAUCAUAGAUGUUCUUAUUGACUUCUAGAGUUGUGAAUCCUUUCCAGAAGGUUUUCAAUGUACUUUGCCCAGAUCUAUCAGAGGAAUCACUGUCUAUGGCAGUUAUAGCCUUAUAAAAUGUAUUUCUUAAGUAAUAAGAGUUGCAAGUCAAAAUUACUCCUUGAUCCGUGGAGUACAGAAUGGAUGUUGUAUUAGCAGACAUGAAAACAUUGAUCUUGAACAUCUUCAUCAGAGCUCUUGGGUAACUAGGUGCAUUGUCAAAUGAGCAGUAAUAUUUUGAAAGAAAUCUUUCUUUCUGAGCAGCAUGUCUCAGCAAUGAGCUUAAAAUAUUCAGUAAACCAAGGUAUCAACAGAUGUGCUGUGCCCAGGCUUCUUUGUUCCUAUAGAGCACAGGAAGAGUAGAUUUAGUGUCAUUCUUAAGGGCACUAGAACUUUCAGAAUGAUAAAUGAGCAUUUGUUUCAACUUAAAGUCACCAGCUACAAUUGUCCCUGUCUGUAGAAGCUUUGAAGCCAGGCAGAGACUUAUUCUCAUCUAGCCUAGAUAACAUCUUCUUCCAAUAGACGGCUGUGUUGUCUACAUUGAACAUCUGUUGUAUAGUGUAGCCACCUUAAUCAGCGAUGUUAACUAGAUCUUCUAAGAUCUAGAGAUCUUGCUGCAGCUUCUCCAUCAGCACUUGCCACUUCCCCAGUGCUAUAACAUAAAACUUUUAUGUUAUUGAAGAUGGCUUUUUUCCUUAAACCUCAUGAACCAACCUCUGCUAGCUUCUAACUUUUCUAUUCUUUUUUUUUUUUUCCAUUUGAACAACUUGACAUUUUAGGGUUGUUAAUAGCCUAACUUUAAUAUGUUGUGUCUCAAGGAAUACGGAGGCCUGAGGAGAGGGAGACCGGAGAAUCACUGGUCAGUGGAGCAGUCAGAACACACACAACGUUUAUUAAGUUCAUCGGUAUGUGUGGGUGUGGUUCGUGGUGCCCCAGAACCAGAACUGUUGUAAUUACAACAGUAACAUCAAAGAUCACUGAGCACAGGUCACUAUAACAAAUAUAAUCCUAAUGGAAAAGUUUGAAAUACUGUGAGAAUUCCCAAAAUGUGACACAGAGAUGCACAGUGAGUGCAUGCUGUUUGAAAAAUGAUGCCAAUAAACUUGCUCAGCACAGGGUUGCCACAAACCUUUAAUUUGUAAAAAGAAAAUGCAGUAUCUUCAAAGGGCAAUACAGUAAAGCACAGUAAAAUGAGGUGUGUCUGUAUGGACACGUGUCAGCUUCUCAAAUUGUAAACUUUAAAUAUGUGCAUUUUAUUUGGUGUCAAUUGUAUAAAGCGAUUAAAUUUUUAAAAGGACUGAUGCAGACAGCACCUGGCAUCUGGGAUAAAGUGUAUCAUUUUCCUCUUUAUGGCAGGAACUGCCACGCCCCCUGUUUUCAUGCUGCUGGAGACCAGCCGGCAGGUGGGGGGCAGUGGCUCUCCUUGUCAAUCCUGGGCAUGCAGGUGACAGUGCAGGGAGAGUGCCCUUCCCACAUGGCCCACGUUUGUAGCCACAGCUGUCCCUGCAAAAACUGUGCAGCCUGAAGUGAAUUAACAAGACAGUUUUCAGAUCUUCACUUGCUUGUGGGUUUCACAUGUCACAUUUAACCUCCAGUUACAUCGACUUUUUCAAACCCCACUUAGGCAUCUUAGAAUUUUAUCAUUUGCAUUCUUUUAUGUUGAAUAAGAGAGUUGUAGUACAUGCCCCACUGUCUGCUUUCUGAAACAUCCAGGUUGGAGUUAGCGCCUUCACACACUCUCCCUGGAAGCACCAGGCGCCAUCCUCAGUGCAGCGGCAAGGCGGUGUCGGGGCUCUCUGCCCCCAGGUCUCUCCCCGCCUGGUUCCAUUGGCUGCUGGGAAGGAUGUUUGGAUGGGAGGUCUUUGUGUUUUCAGGCAGGAAAUAUUAUUUGCUCCGCUAGCCCUAGGCCUUACUAAUUUACUGUGCAGUCUUCAACAAAUUUCUUGAUCUUCUGCUCUCUGUUUUCUCAUCUGUAAAAUUGAGGGCAGUGAGCAAGGUGACCUGUAGGUCCCAGGAGUGCCAAGGUAGUGCCGUAUUUAGUACCAGGUUUUCCUAAGAGGAAAUGGGGGCUACUUGGGGUCAAAACAAAGGAGAGUCUUUCUAGAUAGGGAAGGACUAGCAGUGGGUCAAAACUUGCCAAGAAGGACUAUGAAGGGAGCUUUGCUUGGGGUUUAAAAGCUCUGAUCACAGACUUGGAGGGGCUCAAACCCCUCGCUUUAGAAGGCAGAAACCAAGAACCACUAAGGACCUAGGACUUGCUGACGGUGUCUUUGGAGUUAAAGGUGGAACUGAAGUUAGAGCUGAUUUUCUUCCUGUCACAUCCAGUAAGACUGGGAAUGGUUGGGUGCCAGAGGCAGGUUCCAGAAGGUGGGAAGAGUCCUGUCUGCAUCCCCAGGGUCCUAACCUUGAGGAAAGCUUGCUGUCCUUUUGUCCUGCUUCACACUCCCUUUGGUUAAAGGUUUCACUCAGAGCCCGAUGGAAACCUUCAGGAAAAAAGGGCCCCAAACCGAGGCGAGGACACUGGGGAAGCCUUGGGUGGUUUCUGUGUGGGGCGGCCCCUGCUCUGUGAAGCACAGGGGAAUAGGACUCCAUCGCUGUCAUCGUCACUCAUGCCCUGGUGCAGACCUGCAGGAACAUUGCCUGCUGUAUACAGGGCAAAUGGGCACUGUGCCGGGAGAAGCCUGUAGGAAGAGAGACCUGGAGGGAUGAGGAGGGAACUCCGACCAUGAGCAUGCACGGAGCUCCGUGAAGGAGGGCCUUGACAGACAGAGGCAUGGUGGGUGGAGACGGGUGGAGAACAUCCGGGCAGAACACAGAGCAUGCGCCGUGGCGUGCUGGCAGGGACGUAUAUGCUGUGUAAAGGCAGGGAGUAGGUCCAGGUGCCCUGGGAAGAGUGUGUGUAGAGAAACGUCGUGGAAGAGGAGACGCCAAGGAAGACCCGAUGCGAGGUCAUGGCUGGUUUGCGUGCUUUGUGGAAACUGCCAUAGACUGGCUUUUGUCAGCAAUGGCAGAGAGAGGGGGUUGCAUUUUUCUCCUUUUAGUUUGCUUUUGAGGUCUCCCUCUCUCUGUAGAGUGGCUGUGAACUCCAGCCCUGCCCUGAUGGGGCUCCAGGGGAGGUGGUUGUGCAUGUUUAUGAUGUGCCUUCACGGGGUACUUCUUUAUCCUGGUGGAUGGCAGAAUCCCUGUGUCUGACCUGUGCCCAGGUCUCUCAUGAGAAACUUGUUUACCCUCUUAGAUACCCUUGAGUCUCUUGUCUGUGUCUGGUGUAUUUAUUUAUUUAGCCUACCAAGAUAGCCACUCUUCAGGAGAGUUCUGAAUUUGGAAAGAAGUUAGGAUCAGGUGUGUUGGUCAAGUGAGACACAGAGGAGGCCACUCAACAAAACCCAUGAAAUACCAGAAGCAGUGAGUUCCUCGCAGGUCCAGAGAGAAGAGGGCAGCACGCUGGACUGGGGGAGCCGUCAGGACCCUUGUGCUCGCCAGCAGGUGGGGAGCAAGAGAGAUGGAGUGUGGGCCCUGAGAGCUGAAGCCUUUAUGGGGUCCAGGCCAUCACCCCAGCAGGUUCCCAAGAAGUUGUAAUUCGUUGGCUUAGAUCAGGUAGGCACAAGUUACGGGAGGCCAUGUUGUGAGGGAGAGGUGGUCAUGGCAGCAUAUCUGGGCAGUCCAUGCCGGGUGUGAGGGUCUGCAGGGUGGGUCAAGUAGGUUGCAUCUAGCUGUCCCUUAGGGACUUGGUCACCAGGAGGCAGCUAUAUAAGGCACAUCUCUGGAUCGACCAUUUUGAGGGCCUGGGAAGAGGUGGAGACGUGGAAACUUUCAAGGAUGACUAAGCCCUGCUUCUGGUAUGAGAAAGUCCAACAUAUAUUCAAAAUAGGUACCAAGAAAGCAUAACAUUGUAAGAAUUCACUGCAGUGGAUCAUCUGAAGGGUCUAAGGUGAGAAAUGAAUAUGUAGUGUAGAAGUUGAAGAGGCAUCCACAGGAAUGAUCUCUAAUGAACUGGAUCUGCCUCCAAGAUAGAGAUCAAAAUUGGUUUAAAACAAAUACAAGCCAGGUGCAGUGGAUCACGCCUGUAAUUCCAGCACUUUGGGAGGCCAAGGCAGGAGAAUCACUUGAGGCGAGGAGUUGGAGCCUAGCCUGGGCAAUAUAGUACGACCCUGUCUUUACUAAAAAUGCAAAAAUUAACCACGUAUGGUGGCUCACACCUGUAGUCCUGGCUACUGAGGAGGCUGAUGCAGGAGAAUCAUUUGAACCCAGGAGGUCAAGGCUGCAGUGAGCUAUGAUUGCACCACUGCAAUCCAGCCUGGACAACACAGUGAGACCCUGCCUCAAAAAAAUUAUAUUCUGAUUUUCUGAGUCCAUGAACACAUUGUCCAAAUGGAUUUUUCUAGCUCCUCCAAGUUACAGAUAGUUCCACGCACACACAGAACUCACCACUCUCAAAUAUUUUCCCCACUAGUAUACUAUUAAAUUUUUCAAACAUGCAAAAGAUGAAAGAAUUGCUCAGUGAACACCAUGUACCCACCACCUAGAUUCUACAAUUAACAUUUUACCCUACUUUCUUUAUCACAUAUAUGUACCUAUCCAUCUAUCCAUUCUUCCAUGAAUCCAUCAAUUCAUCUAAUUUUUUAUAUAUUUCAAGUUAAGUUGCAGAUAUGUAGCUUAUGUUUCACCUUAAAUGUUUCUGCCUGGCUAUUAUUAACUGGAGUGCAAUAUGUUUUUGGUUCUUCUUUAUGGUAAAAUCUAUGUUCAGUGAAAUGCACAAGACUUAGGUAUGCCAUUAAUAGGUUUUGACGAAUAGACAAACCUUGUGUCUGAAACUGUAAUAAAAAAAUCAAACACUACCUUGCUUUCAAAAA